rnacentral:rRNA from 1 species
UGAGUACGAGAUGCUACGGCAUCGAAGCAGUCUAUGUCAUACUUCCAAGAAAAGCUUGCAAUGUCAUAAACAAAUAAUGCCUGUACCAUAACCGACACAGGUGGGUAGGUAGAGUAUACUAAGGGGCGCGAGAUAACUCUCUCUAAGGAACUCGGCAAAAUGACUCCGUAACUUCGGGAGAAGGAGUGCCUUAUUUUUAUAAGGUUGCAAUAACAAGAUCCAAGCAACUGUUUACCAAAAACACAGGUCUCCGCUAAGUCGUAAGACGAUGUAUGGGGGCUGACGCCUGCCCAGUGCCAGAAGGUUAAAGAAGUUGGUUAGCAUUAGCGAAGCUGAUAACUGAAGCCCUGGUGAACGGCGGCCGUAACUAUAACGGUCCUAAGGUAGCGAAAUUCCUUGUCGGGUAAGUUCCGACCCGCACGAAAGGCGUAAUGAUUUGGAUACUGUCUCGGAGAGGGGCUCGGUGAAAUAGACUUGUCUGUGAAGAUGCGGACUACCUGCACCUGGACAGAAAGACCCUAUGAAGCUUUACUGUAACUUGAGAUUGAAAUUGGACUUUAUCUGCGCAGUAUAGGUGGGAGACGUUGAAAAUAUUCUUGCGCGGAUAUUGGAGUCAUCAGUGAGAUACCACUCUUAUAAUGUUAGAUUUCUAACUUUGUAUCAUUAUCUGGUCAAAGAACAGUUUCAGGCGGGCAGUUUGACUGGGGCGGUCGCCUCCCAAACGGUAACGGAGGCGCACAAAGGUUUCCUCUGAACGUGUAGAAAUCGUAUCUAGAGUGUAAAGGCAUAAGGAAGCUUGACUGUGAGACCUACAAGUCGAGCAGGGACGAAAGUCGGUCUUAGUGAUCUGACGGUGCUGAGUGGAAAGGCCGUCACUCAACGGAUAAAAGUUACUCUAGGAUAACAGGCUGAUCUCCCCCAAGAGUUCACAUCGACGGGGAGGUUUGGCACCUCGAUGUCGGCUCAUCGCAUCCUGGGGCGGUAGUACGUCCCAAGGGUUGGGCUGUUCGCCCAUGAAAGCGGUACGCGAGCUGGGUUCAGAACGUCGUGAGACAGUUCGGUCCAUAUCCGGUGUAGGCGUUAGAAUAUUGAGAGGAGCCUUCUUUAGUACGAGAGGACCGAGAAGGACAUACCUCUGGUGUACCAGUUAUCGUGCCAACGGUAAACGCUGGGUAGCCAUGUAUGGGGAGGAUAACCGCUGAAAGCAUCUAAGUGGGAAGCCCACCUCAAGAUAAGUAUUCUCAUCAU